GGACGAACGCUGGCGGCGUGCCUAACACAUGCAAGUCGAGCGAGGAGAUCCUCGGGAUGAUCCUAGCGGCGGACGGGUGAGUAACACGUGGGCAACCUGCCUCAUAGAGAGGAAUAGCCUUCCGAAAGGGAGAUUAAUACCUCAUAACAUUGCAGUUUCGCAUGGAACAGCAAUUAAAGGAGCAAUCCACUAUGAGAUGGGCCCGCGGCGCAUUAGCUAGUUGGUGAGGUAACGGCUCACCAAGGCGACGAUGCGUAGCCGACCUGAGAGGGUGAUCGGCCACAUUGGGACUGAGACACGGCCCAGACUCCUACGGGAGGCAGCAGUGGGGAAUAUUGCACAAUGGGGGAAACCCUGAUGCCAGCAACGCCGCGUGAGUGAUGACGGCCUUCGGGUUGUAAAGCUCUGUCUUCAGGGACGAUAAUGACGGUACCUGAGGAGGAAGCCACGGCUAACUACGUGCCAGCCGCGGC
rnacentral:rRNA from 1 species